AUCGGUGACAGGUGGUGCAUGGUUGUCGUCAGCUCGUGUCGUGAGAUGUUGGGUUAAGUCCCGCAACGAGCGCAACCCCUAUUCGUUAGUUGCCAUCAUUCAGUUGGGCACUCUAGCGAGACUGCCGGUAAUAAACCGGAGGAAGGUGGGGAGUGACGUCAAAUCAUCAUGCCCCUUAUGACCUGGGCUACACACGUGCUACAAUGGUUGGUACAACGAGUUGCGAGUCGGUGACGGCGAGCUAAUCUCUUAAAGCCAAUCUCAGUUCGGAUUGUAGGCUGCAACUCGCCUACAUGAAGUCGGAAUCGCUAGUAAUCGCGGAUCAGCACGCCGCGGUGAAUACGUUCCCGGGCCUU
rnacentral:rRNA from 1 species